GACGAACGCUGGCGGCGUGCUUAACACAUGCAAGUCGAACGGAAAGGCCCUGCUUUUGUGGGGUGCUCGAGUGGCGAACGGGUGAGUAACACGUGAGUAACCUGCCCUUGACUUUGGGAUAACUUCAGGAAACUGGGGCUAAUACCGGAUAGGAGCUCCUGCUGCAUGGUGGGGGUUGGAAAGUUUCGGCGGUUGGGGAUGGACUCGCGGCUUAUCAGCUUGUUGGUGGGGUAGUGGCUUACCAAGGCUUUGACGGGUAGCCGGGCUGAGAGGGUGACCGGCCAAAUUGGGGACGGAGAUACGGCCCGGACCCCUACGGGAGGAGGCAGUGGGGAAUAUGGCACAAGGGGCGAAAGCCGGAGCAGGCAACGCCGCGGGGGGGAUGACGGCCUCCGGGUUGUAAACCGCUUUCGCCGUGACGAAGCGUGAGUGACGGUAAUGGGUAAAGAAGCACCGGCUAACUACGUG
rnacentral:rRNA from 1 species